CACAUAAAUGCAAGGGGAUAAGAUGCAAUACAAGGCUGUUUCAUUUGAACUGGACUACAGUAAAGACAAAGAUUCUGUCCCGCCAUACCUCUUUGUUUUACCUACUGUUCUACAAAACGCGCCAAAUCACUACUGACAAGUCAUACAGACUUCUCUACCAAAGCUGAAGAGGAAGAGCUUUUUGGUGCACUACAGCCACUGGAAAAGUUGCAGCUUCCAUCACUAUAAUACUUUCUGAGCUGGCAGGAUGCAUAAAAGACAGAACUGUGCUCCGUUUAAACUAAACAAAUAAAAACAAAAUCAAUAAACUGUAAGCAGAAUAUCAUGGGGGAGGCUGAGUGCACCAAUCUGAUGCAGAUCCAUGAAAAACAUUUCUGCAGGAAUACAAAAUAUAUUGUAAAAAUGAAUUUAAAAAAGCAACAGGACCACAUAUUAUGGAAGCAAACCACCAUCCUAAUCAAGAGAGAAAAGAUAACUGGAAGAAAAUGGCUGAAUUAUGGAGGUCCCAUGCAAAAAUAACUAGAUUUUGACACAUCAACUAAGCUGAUGGAAAGUUUUUCUAAAAUAAGAACUACUUUGCCACUAUAAAUAGCAUUGUAAUAUAUAUCCUCAGGCAAAAAUAAAAAAGUUUUGUUAUGGCAUAACAUUUCUGUCAAGCAGAUUGUACACAGUAAUAGAAUGUCUAAUGUUUUAAAUUAGACUACACUACCAUUGUAUAAUUACUACAAAACAAUUUAUAAUUAAAAUCUUCACAGGACCACUAGAACAUUAUCAAAUUCGGUACUGAAGUCCACUUUGCAUUUCUGUAUGUCUAAUUUUGUGCAGAAGCAUUCAUCUUUAGAAGAAAGUUAUCUUAAAAAUCUCCAGUAUUUCAGGAUACUCUGGCAUAAUAGGAGCCUUAAAAUUUGAUCUCAACAAAAUUUGCAUAUAGCAUUAUUAUUUCCAGGAUGAACUAGUGCUCGACAAGUCAAGAAUCUUAAAUUCUACCAAUGGCUCUUCAUGAGCUCUCUGACCUUGUACAAUGGUCCACUAAUUUUUAAAAUAAAGAUACUACAUUUCAAAGUCUUCAUUAUCCUGAUAUUUGAUUGCCUUCAACAGUCUCAUCUUUCUAGGAGUCUGUGAGGGCUAUUUCUGACGCUACUUCCCACAGGUUAAAAAAGUGGGAAGCAAUUUAUUUUACUAUAAUCAAGAAUUAACUUGUUAAGUUAUGGAUCUGUAUUCAUAACCUUGCAAGCUAAAAAAUAAGGCCCCAAUUCCAUAUGCAGAAAUAUCAACUUAAAUUCCUGCAAAAGGUAUGAAAAACCUGACACCUGAGUUUACGAGAUCAGUUCUUGGUUUCAAAGUAUUCUUCCUGGUUUGAUUUUUUAAAGCAGCUAGUUGCCUCUUCAGUGUCCUUUUUAUCCUGCUUGUUUUCAGCUGUGUUCACUAUUGACUUCUCCAAAAAACACAGUUACUAUUUGAUGUUAAUGAAACCAACAGCAAAUAAAUUGAGCUACAGAGAAGUUAAUCCACAUGGACAAUUAGGUAUCUGCGCUAAAAGUUUUUGCCAUUUGUCAGUUCCUUUGUUUAGGCCAUUGCAAUAGAAGAAUAACUCAUCUGGUGACUAAGAGUUUCUACAGAGCUUCAUAUCUGAAAAAAAACAAACAAAAACAACUGCAGUUUUGAAAGUAUUUUUUAAAGGAAAAGUUUAGAUCUUUGGUAAACUUAUUUGUUUAUACAUACUCUUCUGGAUCCUUUUCAAAUACCGUUGUUGCUAAAUACAAAGUUCAAAAUAUUUUUUCCUAUUUGUGGGUUCUGCAUGAAAAUGUCAGAUAUUGUCAACUUGUACUCUUCAGCAGUUACCAUAAAAAAAGCGCAUUUACUUCAAUUAUUACAUCACAAAAUGCAUCAGUUAUUCCUGUUAUAAUCAUAAAUCAAUACUAUCUGUAUGUAAUGAAAACAAUAAGCUCAAAUCCAUAGGUAGUUUGGCAAAAAAAUUCCCUUGGCACUUACUCAGUUUACUAACUAUUUAACCACAGCCAUUUUUAACAUAAGAUAGUAUUACUUCUGCAAUUAAACUUAAUCAUCCAGUCUACUAGAUAUAUUCUGUUAACUUUUAAAGGACCAACAAACCAUUUUCCACUUUUUUUUUUUUUUGGCACAAAAUACUGCUUUCCAUCUACCUGUGCAACUUAGAAUUGAUGGGGCUGCUAGCCCAAGGUCAGCCACCAAGAUCAAUGCCACAAUUGUUUAUAUUUCAAUUACGCAUUUCUUGGGAGUCCUCAGAAUAAUCAAAUGUCCCAAAAUAGGAUGGAAAACAACCUGCCAGCUGGUUAUUCUGCACAUAAAUCCAGUAAUUGUAUUGGAUCAAGCGGAACAAUGAUGUAGCUCUCCAGUUUGUAAUUUGAAAAGUUUGUUAGUUUGCUCUAUUUAUCCUGUUAAACAACAGUUAUGGUAGGGAUUGUUUUUUCACAGCAGAAGUAGGAAUACAAGCAACCUUACUAUUUAGUGUAAACACUUUUUAUUCCUACUACUACAAAACACAAACCAAAGCGCACGCACACACAGUUUAUUUCCUUAUUAUCCUGUUAACCAGAAAUAUAUACCCCCAUAUGGCAAGAAUGAGUCAUCCACGUACUAUUUUAACCACUACCUGUUACUAAAGCUCAUAACCUUGAAACUCAUUAAGCCUAAAUUUUCUAUACUAAUUUUAAUAAAACUAUUACUAUAUUAACCCAUAUUUAAUACAUUGCCAUGCAGUUACAGGAAAAAAAUUACAUUAUAUGUAGUAGUAGAGUCUUCAGUCUGUAAAAAUCACUGCUCUAAGCAUUAUAAGGCUUUAAUGGAGGUACUGAAUCCUGUUUUGAUACUGAAUCCCAUUUUGAUCACCACACUGCGUGAAAGGCUUGCAUCAGAAGAGAAUCCAGAGAGUCCAACAAGAACAAGAAGAGGUCUUGAAAGUAUCUUUUAUGAGAAAGGAUGGAAAGAAUUUGGGUUGUUUAUUAUAGCAGAGCAAAGGACGAGAGGAGACAACAAGUUUUCAAACACUGUUAAGAAAAGGGAGCAACUACCACAGGAAGUAUUUCCUAUUCUUGGUAUUUGCGAGAGUUCUCCACAUUUUUAGUAUUUUUCCUAUAACUGUGCUAGUACAGCAAAGUUUUGUCUUUUAUUU